rnacentral:lncRNA from 1 species
GAAUGGGUUAUUGUUGGUUAUUAUUAUCCAGGCUAUUAGAACCAAGUGGACAGAAUGGGUUAUUGUUGGUUAUUAUUAUCCAGGCUAUUAGAACCAAGUGGACAGAAUGGGUUAUUGUUGUUUAUUAUUAUCCAGGCUAUUAGAACCAAGUGGGCAGAAUGGGUUAUUGUUGGUUAUUAUUAUCCAGGCUAAUAGAACCAAGUGGACAGAAUGGGUUAUUGUUGUUUAUUAUUAUCCAGGCUAAUAGAACCAAGUGGACAGAAUGGGUUAUUGUUGUUUAUUAUUAUCCAGGCUAUUACAACCAAGUGGACAGAAUGGGUUAUUGUUGGUUAUUAUUAUCCAGGCUAUUAGAACCAAGUGGACAGAAUGGGUUAUUGUUGGUUAUUAUUAUCCAGGCUAAUAGAACCAAGUGGACAGAAUGGGUUAUUGUUGUUUAUUAUUAUCCAGGCUAUUAGAAC